rnacentral:lncRNA from 10 species
CCGAGGUUUCACAAAAUAGCAUGCACCGAAAAGCUCCUUCUCCUCUGCUAAAAAUAGGCUAUAAAGGAGUCGGCCUCAUGAUGGCUCCUUGAUUCAAUUUGCUGCAAAUCCUUUCCUGAAAGCCUCCCCCCCCAAACACACACGCACAAAAAGGGGGUGUAAAUGCACGAAGGGAGGAAGAGGGGGAGAAGGCCGAGGUGCACAUUUUCGGGGACAACAUAAUUAGGGUGGAUUCAAUAAUCCAAGAAGAAUGGGACUGGAGCUGAUUUCCUCAUGAGCUAGACAGGGUCUCACCAUUUUCCCAGGUCGAUCUCAAACUCCUAGACUGAAGCCCUGCACUUACCUCCUAACACACUCUAUACUAGAAGGUAAGCUCCAUAAUGCAGGGAUUUUUUGUUAUUGUUUUGCCGUUUAACUUCUAAAUCCUCAGCAGGGCCUGGUGCAGAGUAGCUCCUCAAUAAAUACUUGUUGAUUGAAGAGCAUGUGAAUGAAUGAAUGAGUGAAUGCAGGAAAUGGUAAGAUCAGCAUGACCGAAGCCGUGUUCCAGUGGGGCUGGAGUAGAAAAUGGAGUUCGUUGUAAGAAUGUUGGAGUGCGACAAAGGAGUUUGUAGCUUUACUUUAGACAAUGGGCAAGAGGGGAACCUGAUGAAUUCCUCGGGUCACCUUACCUCAUUUCCAUACUUAGUGUAAUUACUCCAAAGAAGUUGGAAAGGAGAUAAAAAUGCAGAAGCAGACCUGGGUUCUUUAUCAGGAAAGGAUUAUUUGCUGAUGGAGCUGAUUGGAGAGGCCGUGAGAUGUGAUUGAGCCAGCUCUGCAUAGCUGGCUUGCUGCUCCCCAGGAGACUGAAGUUGGAGCCACAGAUCAGUCAGAGAAUGUGGCCACUGAUAGACAUUAGAAUAUUCUAGGGACAAGUUUCUUUUUCUGGACCUAGGGGCCGUAUCUCUCACGUAUGCCCAUUGGUCUCCACUCUUAGGACUUUUUUUUUUUUGAGAUGGAGUCUCACUCUGUCGCCCUGGCUAGAGUGCAAUGAUUCGAUCUUGGCUCACUGCAACCUCUGCCUCCCGGGUUCACACAAUUCUCCUGCCUCAGACUCCCGAGUAGCUGGGAUUACAGGCACCCACCACCACGCCUGGCUAAUUUUUACAUUUUUAGUAGAGACAGGGUUUCACUAUGUUGGCCAGGCUGGUCUUGAACUCCUGAUGCCUGCCUCAGCCUCCCAAAGUGUUGGGAUUACAGGUGUGAGCCACCGCACCCAGCUUUACCACUUUUACUCUAAUCUUCAUAGCCUCUCACUGGUGGAUUCCUAAAAUUAUCUCUUAAAAGAUUUCUCUACUUCAUCUCUACUUCCUCUUUUUUUCCACUGCGACACCACACAAACACAAAAUCUAUUCUCUCACUGUCCUAAAGGACUGCUUUUAAUGUUGUAAUUUUCCUGCUUUAGGGUCAUAAUAGAUCUCUAGUAAAUAUCUAUCUAAUCUAUUCCAUCUAUAGGUUUAGCUUUCUCUCCCUUCCUUCCCCCUUUCUCCAACUCUCUUUAACCAAUAAUCAGUCUUCUUUAUACAUAUUUAAUGUUUCUAUUGUAGUCAAACAGAGCUACUCUUAUUGAUUUGUUAAUACACAAGUGAGCCAGAUAUUGUCUAUUGGCAUCUAGCACUUUUUACAGUCUUCUAUCUCCCCUGUUUUGCAGGGGCUGGAAAUCUGGGAACAUGUCUCAUACUCCCUUGCCAGCACAGUUUCAGACAUAGCUUGAGUUCUGCCAAUCAGAUAUACUGGUGAGAGAUUUGGAAGGCAGAAGAGAGAUGGCAACCACCAUUGGCUUUUUCCUUUGUUACUGGUGAUGGGCAGCCCUUGAAGUCAGCAGAGUCUCCAGCAGCCUCCGGAUGCUAGGAAGCACCCGGUCAAAUUUCUACUUAUUAAGAAAAAGAGGGCCAGGCUCGGUAGCUCACACCUGUAAUCCCAGCACUUUGGGAGGCCAAGGCGGGGGGAUCACGAGGUCAAGAGAUCGAGACCAUCCUGACCAACAUGGUGAAACCCCGUCUCUUCUAAAAAUACAAAAAUUAUCCAGGCGUGGUGGUGUGUGCCUGUAAUCCUAGCUACUUUGGAGGCUGGGCAGGAGAAUUGCUUGAACCUGGGAGGCGGAGGUUGCAGUGAGCCGAGAUCACACCACUGCACUCCAGCCCAGGUGACACAGUGAGACUCCGUCUCAAAAAAAAAAAAAAAGCCCUCAAAGACCUAAAUAUCUUGAUAUCCCUGUGAAUGUAUUUUUUAAUCUAAUUAUCUGGAAAAUCUUGUCUAUUUUACAUUUUAGGUGUGUAGAGUAGAAUCAUCAUUAAAAGAUAUUUUUAAAAUGUUCCCAAGUAUAUCCAUGUAAAGAAUCCAGUGUCCCUCUUUAAUUUCCCCAUUCAGAUCAAUAUCUAUUAAAGUAACACAUUUGAUAUUUCUAUAAUAUUUAAUAUAAUACCAAAUGAGAAAAACAGAAAAGUAACAUUACACUAAUAUGAUUUAAAGAGCAUUUAAUUAUCUAAUAUAAUUAUCUCUUAAGCCCCAAUUAUAAUAUAUUAUUAUCCUUACCAAAAAGCCAACUGUCUUGAGUCAUAGCUAAAAGUGGUAGCAUUAUAAAAGAAAAAACAUUUGAUCUGAUAGCCAACUACCUAUUUACUAUUUAAAAACACUUUAGGCUGGGUACGGUGGCUUAUGCCUCUAAUCCCUGCACUUUGGGAGACCAAGGCGGGUGGAUCACUUGAGGUCAGGAGUUCGAGACCAGCCUGAUCAACAUGGUGAAACUCCAUCUCUACUAAAAAUACAAAAUUAGCUGGGUGUAGUGGCAGGCACCUGUAAUCCCAGCUACUCAAGAGGCUGAGGCAGAAGAAUUGCUUGAAUCCUAGAGGGGGUUGCAAUGACCGCACCACUGCACUCCAGCCUUAUUGACAGAGUGAGACCCUAUCUCAAAAAAAAAAAAAUUAAAAUUAAACCCUAAAAACACCUUAAUGUCCUCUGAGUUUCUGCACUAUUCCUUCCAAUGUCAAAUAAAGAUAAAGGAGAAUGUCAAGGCAUACAAAUGUAUUAAUGAUAGCUGAGUUCUACUCUGACUUAUUUGCUCCUUCUGUAUCUUCCCUGGUGAGCAAUAUCUGGCACAUCCUUACACAAAGCCAUCUUGCUUCCUAGCCCACUACAUUAUGCCAGUGUUACUUUUACUGCAUUAUUGUUAUGGUUGAUAACACUUUUUUUCUUCUUUUUUUUUUUCUUUUUUUUUUGAGAUGGAGUUUCGCUCUUGUUGCCCAGGCUGGAGUGCAAUGGUGCAGUCUUGGCUCACCACAACUUCUGCCUCCCAAGUUCAAGCGAUUCUCCUGCUUAAACCUCCCGAGUACCUGGGAUUACAGGCACGCGCCACUACGCCUGGCUAAUUUUUGUAUUUUUAGUAGAGACUGGGUUUUGCUGUGUUGGUCAGGCUGGUCUCGAACUCCCAACCUCAGAUGAUCUGCCUGCCUCGGCCUGUGAAAGUGCUGGGACUACAGGCAUGAGUCACCGUGCCCAGCCCCAACAAUUUUUGUUGGUAACAUUUUGGAUCUUUUUUAUUUUUUCUUUUUUUUGAGACGAGGUCUUGCUCUGUCGCCCAGACUGCAGUGCAGUGGCGUGAUCUCGGCUCACUGCAAGCUCCGCCUCCCGGGUUCACGCCAUUCUCCUGCCUCAGCCUCCCGAGUAGCUGGCAUCACAGGCGCCCGCCACCGUGCCCGGCCAACAUUUUGGAUCUUUUAAACCUUAAGUAUUUAAUGUUUUAUAGGUCGAUUCUUGUCUUUUUUUCUUUUCUUUUUUUUUUUUUUUUUUUUGAGACAGGAUCUCAUUCUGUCACCCAGGCUAAAGUGAAGUGGUGCAAUCAUGGCUCACUGCAGCCUCAAUCUCCUGGGCUCAAGCGAUCCUUCCACCUUGGCCUCCUGAGUAGCUGGGACUACAGGCGCACACUAUCAUGCCAGACUAAUUUUUAUUUUUAAAUUUUUGGUAGAGAUGAGGUCUCACUGUGUUGCCCAGGCUGGUCUCAAACUCCUGAGCUCAAGUGGUCUGCCUGCCUCAGCCUCCCAAAGUAUUGAGAUUACAGGCAUGAGCCACUGUGUUUGGACUAUAGGUUGAUUCUAAAAGAUGAAAAGUAAUAAACAGCACUUAAGUUAUCAUGACUAUGUAAAUAUUAUUCACUGCAGAGAUAAACAAUGUGAUGUAUUUCCUGCUCUAUUGUUCCAAUAUGACAACACUGGUAAUAGUCAAAGAAUGAAUACAAUGAAUUCUCCCUGUUCCAAUCUACCAAAUGCUCAAAAUCAUGGCACAUUUAAAAAUAUUAGCAUCGCACCUUUUCUCACGGAGUUUUGUUUUUGUUUUUCCUGAAAUUUUAAUUACAUUCCUCUCAUUCUUUUUUACUGCUUUGUGUAAGAGUCUAUGGCAUAGAUGCUCUAUAAUUUAGUUCACACUCCACUAUUGUUGAGCAUUUAGGCUGGUUUUUCAUUUUUUCCUACUAUGAAUGAUGCUUCAAUGAAUAUCCUGCCCGUACAUUUUUGUGUACAUACAAAUUUCUGUAAGAUAAAAAGCUAGAGCUGGGUUGAAGAGAAUAUGCAUUUUAAGAACCACUGACAAAUAGCCCUCAGAAAGAGGCACUGCCAUCUAUAUUCUCACCAUCACUGUAAGGGAAGGUCUAUUUUUUUUUUUUUCUUUGAGACAAGAGUCCCGCUCUGUCACCCAGGCUGGAGUACAGUGGCGCGAUCUCGGCUCACUGCAACCUCCGCCUCCUG